AGAAGACCCCAUGGAGCUUUAAACCCAACUACACCCUUGACCCCCAUAACCCCUUAACUCACAAGGUUCUGAAUAGUUGGUUUUAGGUUGGGGCGACCACGGAGAAUAACAAAACCUCCACAAUGAAUGGGGUAUUUCCCCUCAUCUAAGAAUUACAACUCCAAGAAUUAGUACACUAACAUAAAUGAUCCAUUUAAAUGAUCAAUGAACCAAGUUACCCUGGGGAUAACAGCGCAAUCCAUUUCAAGAGCUCCUAUCGACAAAU
rnacentral:rRNA from 1 species